GACGAACGCUGGCGGCGUGCCUAAUACGUGCAAGUAGAACGCUGAAGGAGGAGCUUGCUUCUCUGGAUGAGUUGCGAACGGGUGAGUAACGCGUAGGUAACCUGCCUGGUAGCGGGGGAUAACUAUUGCAAACGAUAGCUAAUACCGCAUAAUAGUAGAUGUUGCAUGACAUUUGCUUAAAAGGUGCAAUUGCAUCACUACCAGAUGGACCUGCGUUGUAUUAGCUAGUUGGUGGGGUAACGGCUCACCAAGGCGACGAUACAUAGCCGACCUGAGAGGGUGAUCGGCCACACUGGGACUGAGACACGGCCCAGACUCCUACGGGAGGCAGCAGUAGGGAAUCUUCGGCAAUGGACGGAAGUCUGACCGAGCAACGCCGCGUGAGUGAAGAAGGUUUUCGGAUCGUAAAGCUCUGUUGUAAGAGAAGAACGAGUGUGAGAGUGGAAAGUUCACACUGUGACGGUAUCUUACCAGAAAGGGACGGCUAACUACGUG
rnacentral:rRNA from 1 species